rnacentral:rRNA from 2 species
GUGACCUCAAAUCAGGUAGGACUACCCGCUGAACUUAAGCAUAUCAAUAAGCGGAGGAAAAGAAACUAACAAGGAUUCCCCUAGUAACUGCGAGUGAAGCGGGAAAAGCUCAAAUUUAAAAUCUGGCAGUCCUUUAACUGCCCGAGUUGUAAUCUAGAGAAGUGUUAUCUGCGCUGGACCAUGUACAAGUCUUCUGGAAUGGAGCAUCAUAGAGGGUGAGAAUCCCGUCUUUGACAUGGACUGCCAGGGCUUUGUGAUGCACUCUCAAAGAGUCGAGUUGUUUGGGAAUGCAGCUCAAAAUGGGUGGUAAAUUCCAUCUAAAGCUAAAUAUUGGCGAGAGACCGAUAGUGAACAAGUACCGUGAGGGAAAGAUGAAAAGAACUUUGGAAAGAGAGUUAAACAGUAUGUGAAAUUGCUGAAAGGGAAACACUUGAAGUCAGUCACAUUGUCCAGGGAUCAUCCCUUGCUUUUGCUUGGUGUACUUUCUGGUUGAUGGGUCAGCAUCAAUUUUGACUAUUGGAAAAAAGUUGAGGGAAUGUGGCCUCUUAGGAUGUGUUAUAGCCCUUGGUUGCCAACCAUAGUUGGGAUUGAGGAACUCAGCAUGCCGCAAGGCCGGGUUUUUUUUUAAAACCACGUACAUGCUAGGAUGC